AGAAUCAACGCUGGCGGCGUGCCUAACACAUGCAAGUCGAACGAGAAAGUGGAGCAAUCCAUGAGUAAAGUGGCGCACGGGUGAGUAACACGUGACUAACCUACCCUUGAGUGGGGGAUAACCUAGAGAAAUCUGGGCUAAUACCGCAUAAUACCUUCGGGUCAAAGGAGCAAUUCGCUUAAGGAGGGGGUCGCGGCCGAUUAGUUAGUUGGCGGGGUAAUGGCCCACCAAGACUAUGAUCGGUAUCCGGCCUGAGAGGGCGCACGGACACACUGGAACUGAAACACGGUCCAGACUCCUACGGGAGGCAGCAGUGGGGAAUUUUGCGCAAUGGGGGAAACCCUGACGCAGCAACGCCGCGUGGAGGAUGAAGUCCCUUGGGACGUAAACUCCUUUCGAUCGGGACAUAAUGACGGUACCGAGAGAAGAACGCCCCGGCUAACUUCGCGCCAGCAGCCGC
rnacentral:rRNA from 1 species